AACCCGUAGGUCUGGACUUGUGUUGAGGUCAGUUCACAAGCUCAAGUCUACGGGUCUG
rnacentral:pre_miRNA from 1 species